CUUAUUUUUACGGAUGCAUAAAAUCUAUCAUACCCUCAAAGCCUACUACUAUCUGCUUGAGUAGUUUACAUUUUCACUGCUCGCAUUACUGUACAAAAAAUAUGAUGCAGCGAUACUAUAAUUUGAAAUGGCAUAUAAGAUAAUUACUAGCUCAUUUAAUACUUCGGUAGAUUUUACUUAAACACAUUUAUUUUAUAGCGCUCAAUAAUCCGAAUCAUACCCGCACAUUGAAUUUUAGACCUU